GAUGAACGCUGGCGGCGUGCCUAAUACAUGCAAGUCGAGCGAACAGACGAGGAGCUUGCUCCUCUGACGUUAGCGGCGGACGGGUGAGUAACACGUGGAUAACCUACCUAUAAGACUGGGAUAACUUCGGGAAACCGGAGCUAAUACCGGAUAUUAUAUUGAACCGCAUGGUUCAAUAGUGAAAGACGGUUUUGCUGUCACUUAUAGAUGGAUCCGCGCCGCAUUAGCUAGUUGGUAAGGUAACGGCUUACCAAGGCAACGAUGCGUAGCCGACCUGAGAGGGUGAUCGGCCCCACUGGAACUGAGACACGGUCCAGACUCCUACGGGAGGCAGCAGUAGGGAAUCUUCCGCAAUGGGCGAAAGCCUGACGGAGCAACGCCGCGUGAGUGAUGAAGGUCUUCGGAUCGUAAAACUCUGUUAUUAGGGAAGAACAAAUGUGUAAGUAACUAUGCACGUCUUGACGGUACCUAAUCAGAAAGCCACGGCUAACUACGUG
rnacentral:rRNA from 1 species